UUAACUCAAAUUUGUAUGGAGUUGGAACAGCGCCCCUAGCGGCAAACGUAGGAACCCUGUCCAACUCCAUACAAAUUUGAGUUA
rnacentral:pre_miRNA from 1 species